rnacentral:rRNA from 1 species
AGCAGCCGCGGUAAUUCCAGCUCCAAUAGCGUAUAUUAAAGUUGUUGCAGUUAAAAAGCUCGUAGUUGAAUUUCGGGAUCAAUAUGUCGGUCGUGCCUUCGGUACGUACUGGUAUCAUUGGUCUCUCCUUUCUGACGAACCAUGAUGUCAUUAAUUUGGUGUUAUGGGGAGUUAGGACUGUUACUUUGAAAAAAUUAGAGUGUUUAAAGCAGGCUUUAGCUUGAAUACAUUAGCAUGGAAUAAUGAAAUAGGACGUUCGAACCUAUUUUGUUGGUUUCUAGGAUCAACGUAAUGAUUAAUAGGGAUAGUUGGGGGCAUUAGUAUUCAAUUGUCAGAGGUGAAAUUCUUGGAUUUAUUGAAGACUAACUACUGCGAAAGCAUUUGCCAAGGAUGUUUUCAUUAAUCAAGAACGAAAGUUAGGGGAUCGAAGACGAUCAGAUACCGUCGUAGUCUUAACCAUAAACUAUGCCGACUAGGGAUCGGAUGAUGUUAAUUUUUUAAUGACUCAUUCGGCGCCUUA